UUUCCUUUCUCUUACUCUACCCAAAAAUAUUCUUAACAUCCUUCUAAAAGUUCUAAACCUCGGAGUUCUAGGCGAAGUUCUGUCCAUAACGCUAGCCUACGAAAACCUUUUAGGAAGCUAACAAUUUCGAUUGUUUUAUCAAGACGCAAGGUAAGAGACCCCAAAUAUAAAUUGUUGCUGAGUAUACGUGGGGCCAACAUGACUGUACAUAUGGGGCUGACCUGAAGGGAGUGGAGUUCUGCUAUGCUAUUUUAUAAAUAAACAAGAAACUUGGUUUUAUUAUAUUUCAUUAAAAGUAUUUUGUGAACUUUAUCAUUUACUUAAAGCUUUAAAAAGUAUUUCAUGAACUUUGUAAUUUACAUAAAGCUUUUCAAUUUAUCAGUUGGAUACAUUUUCAUUUCUACGUUAAGGUGUAGUAACGCCACGAAAAUGAUUUAUAAAAGUAUUAAGAUUUGUAUGUAAGAUAAAGUUUUUAUCUAGUUGUGAGUAUUGUGUGGUUAAGGUUAUAAACAUUAUUUAUGUAUUGUUUAAUAAAGUUUUUGUAAAUUCAGAAUUUCAGUAUUGUCAUAUUUAGGUUAAAAUUUGUUUUUACUCUAUAUAUAUGUAUGUUAAGAAAUGAGGUCGUUACAUUCUUGCCAAGACUGAUGACUGAGACGGAUUUGCCGAAAAAAAUGGCAAUUGCUGGAAUGGAC